GACGAACGCUGGCGGCGUGCUUAACACAUGCAAGUCGAACGAACAGGCCCGGCGCUUGUGGGGUGCUCGAGAGGCGAACACGUGAGUAAAACGCGAGUAACAUCUCCUUAUCUUUGGGAUAACUCCUGGAAACUGGGGCGCAUACAGGGUAGGAUCUCUUGCUGCACGGUGGGGGUUGGUAAGAUUCGGCGGUUGGGGAUGGACGCGCGGGUUACGAGCUUGUUGGGGGAGUAGUGGCUUACAAGGGCUUUGAAGGGUAGCCGGCCUGAGAGGGUGACCGGCCACAUUGGGACUGAGGUAGGGCGCAGACUCCUACGGGAGGCAGCGGGGGGGAAUAUUGCAGAAUAGGCGGAGGCCUGAUGCAGCAACGCCGCGUGCGGGAUGACGGCCUACGGGUGGUAAACCGCUUUCGCCUUUGACGAAGCGUGAGUGACGGUAAUGGGUAAAGAAGCACCGGCUAACUACGUG
rnacentral:rRNA from 1 species